CUACCUUUAUCAGAUUAAGAUUCUUCUUCACAGGCAGAUCUUCAUGCCCAAGGACAUAUAACACCAAGGAAAAUACAUUAAGUGUCCAUAAGCACCAAAAAGCUAAACGUUCGGCACAAGAAGGGAUUCCACACAUGAGAAAACACCUGACAGCCUCUUCCCUACCUAUUCCCCACCCCCCUCCAAAAAAAGGCCAUUUAAUCAGCUUCAUAAACAUUUACUGCACCAGUACACUCCGAGCGAGUGCUUCGACGGAUCUCCUACCUACACCAAAGCCGAACAGGGAAACAGAAUCAACCGCCCCGACGCUUUCAGGCGGUCGGGAAGAUCGGGAGAAUUAUUAGAAACGGACGUCCGCAGGAUCGGGAGUGAGAGAGGGGUAAGCAGUACACUGGAAGGAAGAAAUAGGUAGAUGAAAUAAGAGCAGCAGAAUGUUGAUAACUAUGGAAAAUGAGUGAUGAAAAUGUUAUUCUUAAAAAUACAGCUAAAGAGGACAGAGC